CCUUCAUGAAGCUGGAAUUGCUAGCAAUGGCAGGUCAGCAUACUGCCGUGAAUACGUUCCCGGGCCUUGUACACACCGCCCGUCACACCAUGAGAGUUGGGAAUACCCGAAGCCUGUGAGCUAACAUAUGAGGCAGCAGUCGAAGGUAGAAUCGAUGAUUGGGGUGAAGUCGUAACAAGGUAUC
rnacentral:rRNA from 1 species